CCGGGGGUAUUGCCCUCAGUAACGGCGAGUGAGCGGCAACAGCUCAAAUUUGAAAGCCCGCGGGCGUUGUAAUUUGCAGGCGGAUGUUUUGGGGCGGGCGCUGUCUACGUUCCUUGGAACAGGACGCCGCAGAGGGUGAGAGCCCCGUGCGAUGGCGCCUCCAACCGCGUAAAACUCCGCCGACGAGUCGAGUUGUUUGGGAAUGCAGCUCCAAGUGGGUGGUAAAUUCCAUCUAAAGCUAAAUACUGGCGAGAGACCGAUAGCGAACAAGUACAGUGAUGGAAAGAUGAAAAGCACUUUGAAAAGAGAGUGAAACAGCACGUGAAAUUGUUGAAAGGGAAGGGUAUGCGAUUAGCGGCCAGCAGGAGGUGCCUUCUCGUGAAAAGGCCGUGCACCGUCUUCGGACACCGUGCGCGGAGAUGGCGAGGGGGCGCCUGAGGUCUGCGACUCGAGGUUGCUGGCGUAAUGAUUGCAUACCACCCGUCUUGAACACCGGGACCA
rnacentral:rRNA from 1 species